rnacentral:rRNA from 1 species
UACAGAGGUCCCGAGCGUUGUUCGGAAUUACUGGGCGUAAAGGGCGCGUAGGCGGCGCGGUAAGUCACUUGUGAAAUCUCUGAGCUUAACUCAGAACGGCCAAGUGAUACUGCAGUGCUAGAGUGUAGAAGGGGCAAUCGGAAUUCUUGGUGUAGCGGUGAAAUGCGUAGAUAUCAAGAGGAACACCUGAGGUGAAGACGGGUUGCUGGUCUAACACUGACGCUGAGGCGCGAAAGCCAGGGGAGCAAACGGG